rnacentral:rRNA from 1 species
GAUCAUGGCUCAGGACGAACGCUGGCGGCACGCUUAACACAUGCAAGUCGAACGAGAGAAGAGAAGCUUGCUUUUCUGAUCUAGUGGCGGACAGGUGAGUAACACGUGAGCAAUCUGCCUUUCAGAGGGGGAUACCGAUUGGAAACGAUCGUUAAUACCGCAUAAUAUAAUUGAACCGCAUGAUUUGAUUAUCAAAGAUUUAUCGCUGAAA